GACAGAGGGUGCAAACGUUGCUCGGAAUUACUGGGCGUAAAGCGCGUGUAGGCGGGCCAUCAAGUCGGACGUGAAAUCCCUGAGCUCAACUCAGGAACUGCAUCCGAACUGGUGGCCUGGAGUGGUGGAGAGGGAAGCAGAAUUCCUGGUGUAGAGGUGAAAUUCGUAGAUAUCAGGAGGAACACCGGUGGCGAAGGCGGCUUCCUGGACACUUACUGACGC
rnacentral:rRNA from 1 species